GCGGCAGGUGAGGGCGGGGCGGCCGCAGGUGGGCUCCGAGGGGGCCCCGCUGCGCCCGCGCGGCCUCCGAGCGGCCCCAGGUGUGCCUUGGUUUCUCCCCCGGGUGGCCCCAAAGCCACCCAGGUGUGUCCCAGGUGUCCCCAAAGCCACCCAGGUGUGUCCCAGGUGUCCCCAAAACCACCCAGGUGUGUCCUGGGUGGCCCCAAAACCACCCAGGUGUGUCCCAGGUGUGUCCAGGUGUCCCCAAAGCUGUCCAGGUGUGUCCCAGGUGUGGCCAGGUGUCCACAAAGCCACCCAGGUGUGUCCCAGGUGUCCCCAAAGCCACCCAGGUGUCCCCAGAGCCAUCCAGGUGUGUCCCAGGUGUCCCCAAAAGCCCCCACGGGCAUCCCCAGGUGUGUCCAGGUAUCCACAAAGCCACCCAGGUGUUUCCCAGGUGUCCCUAGGUGUGG